CGUGGCCUAGUGGCUAAGGCGCUGGGCUAGCAACCCAAUGGUCGCAGGUUCGAGCCCGG
rnacentral:ncRNA from 11 species